AAUUUUUGUGGCAAAUUGUCAUCUAUUGAAGGCGUAUUAAAGUCCAUUUUGAAGGUUUAAUAACUUGACGUUGUUGUCGCUACAGCUGAUAAAAUAAAGGCUUUAAAUAAUACCCAUGCUCGGCUGUGGAUUAUCACUAGUAUUGUUUUGACCACAACACUGAAAGUACAUGAAAUAAAUAAGUAGUAUUAUUUGCAUACAAGAGUUUUAUGAAAUAAACAGUGAUGUACGGCCCACCCGGAGGACCACACCACCCGCCACACCACUCCCCGCACCACCAUCCGCACCACCAUCCGCACCACCAUCCGCACCACCAUCCGCAUCACCCCCCCCCACCACCAGGCCCCCCCGGACCGCACGCCCCGCCCCCUGGACCACCCCAUCAUCAUCCCCAUCACCCUCCACCACCACCGCAUCAUCACCAUCCGCCAGGACCCGGACCGUUCCUACGUUGAUGAUGUAAUGAUGGGGUGGAAUAGACAUCAGAUCUGCCAACUUAUUUUUACUUUUUUAAUGAAAAUUGAUUGAAAACUCCUCA